rnacentral:rRNA from 1 species
CAGCCGCCGCGGGAAUACGUAGGGUGCAAGCGUUAAUCGGAAUUACUGGGCGUAAAGCGUGCGCAGGCGGUUUGUUAAGACAGAUGUGAAAUCCCCGGGCUCAACCUGGGAACUGCAUUUGUGACUGGCAAGCUAGAGUGUGGCAGAGGGGGGUGGAAUUCCGCGUGUAGCAGUGAAAUGCGUAGAUAUGCGGAGGAACACCGAUGGCGAAGGCAGCCCCCCGGGCCAACACUGACGCUCAUGCACGAAAGCGUGGGGAGCAAACAGGAUUAGAUACCCCAGUAGUCCCUGUCUCUUAUAC